GCUUACAGCCAUACCACUCUGACAAAGCCUGAUCUCAUCUGACCUUGGAAGCAAAGCAGAGUUGGGCCUGGUUAGUACUUGGUUGGGAGACUGACUGGGAGUACUAGGAGUUGUAAGCU
ensembl:rRNA 5S_rRNA 5S ribosomal RNA